rnacentral:misc_RNA from 1 species
GAAGUUCUCAAAUGAAGGAUUCACUUGCAUCACCUCUCGCUGGUAAACUUUUUGUUGUAAUAGGCGCUGGUGGUGCGGGUAAGGCAUUAGCUUAUGGUGCAAAGGAAAAAGGUGCAAAGGUUGUUAUCGCAAAUCGUACUUAUGAGAGAGCCAGAGAGCUGGCGAACUUGGUUGGUGGAAUUGCUUUAACGCUUGCUGAGUUGCAGAACUUUCAUUCAGAGGAGAGGAUGAUUCUUGCAAAUACUACGGCUAUUGGAAUGCAUCCAAAUGUCCAUGAAACCCCCCUAUCUAAGCAAGCUCUUAGUUCUUACGAUGUGGUGUUUGAUGCGGUUUACACACCAAAAGUGACAAGACUUCUGCGUGAAGCCGAAGAGUCUGGAGCCACUAUCGUUAGCGGAACGGAGAUGUUCGUAAGGCAGGCGAUGGGCCAAUUCGAAUUAUUUACUGGCUUGCCUGCCCCUGAAAGCCUGAUGCGUGAAAUUCUCACGAGAAACACAUAAAAUGUACACGUCGAACACUCUUGAUGUGAUCUAUAUAAUAUGGAGAGAUUGCGGGCUAACACCCUUUUUGGUAUCCGGUAUCAGCGAUUAAUGUGGAAGUUUGGUAUGACAUGCUCAUGGUGUCGAAUAAACUACUGGAGAUUAUUUAUGCGAAGUUUGUGAUAAUUAGUUGAGCCAUCUUGACGGGU